GAUUAAACUGAAGAGUUUGAUCCUGGCUCAGAUUGAACGCUGGCGGAAUGCUUUACACAUGCAAGUCGAACGGCAGCACGGAGAGCUUGCUCUCUGGUGGCGAGUGGCGAACGGGUGAGUAAUAUAUCGGAACGUGUCCAAUAAUGGGGGAUAACGAGUCGAAAGAUUCGCUAAUACCGCAUACGCCCUACGGGGGAAAGCAGGGGAUCGUAAGACCUUGCGUUAAUGGAGCGGCCGAUAUCUGAUUAGCUUGUUGGUGAGGUAAAGGCUCACCAAGGCGACGAUCAGUAGCUGGUUUGAGAGAACGACCAGCCACACUGGAACUG
rnacentral:rRNA from 1 species